rnacentral:tRNA from 1 species
UAAAUAUCUAAAUUUUAAGUAUAUCAUUUACAAUGAUAAGAUGUUAUAAAUAACUUUAUUUAA